rnacentral:sRNA from 1 species
AACCAGACAUAAGCUUAAAUAGAUUGUCCUGUCUUCAUUCACAGCUCACAAAUACAGUGCACACGGUAGAACGAGGCAUUUUGAAUCAGCUACACGUACAACUAAUGGAGCUCAGAAGCUGUCAAGGAUAUAAGCAGUGCAACCCAAGACCUAAGAAUCUUGAUGUUGAGGACAGUUAUGGGAUGGAUGGGAAGGUUAAUCAGGCCCAUCUCACUGCAGACAUCAACCGGCAAGGCCUAGAGGAGAUGUGAAUGAAACAUGAGUACAGACAAAACUACAGACUUAGUCUGGUGGACUGGACUAAUUACUUGAAGGAUGUAGAUAGAGUAUUUGCACUGCUGAAGAGUCACUAUGAGCAAAAUAAAACAAAUAAGACUCAAACUGCUCAAAGUGACGGCUUCCUGGUUGUCUCUGCUGAGCACGCUGUGUCAGUGGAGAUGGCCUCUGCUGACUUAGAUGAAGACCCAAGGCAUACGGUUGGGAAAACACCUCAUUUGACCUUGCCAGCCGACCUUCGAACCCUGCAUUUGAACCGACCAACAUU